GCAGUCGACGGAUGAAGCCCAGCUUGCUGGGUGGAUUAGUGGCGAACGGGUGAGUAACACGUGAGUAACCUGCCCUUGACUCUGGGAUAAGCGCUGGAAACGGCGUCUAAUACCGGAUACGACCUGCCCCGGCAUCGGGUGCGGGUGGAAAGUUUUUCGGUCAAGGAUGGACUCGCGGCCUAUCAGCUAGUUGGUGAGGUAAUGGCUCACCAAGGCGACGACGGGUAGCCGGCCUGAGAGGGUGACCGGCCACACUGGGACUGAGACACGGCCCAGACUCCUACGGGAGGCAGCAGUGGGGAAUAUUGCACAAUGGGCGAAAGCCUGAUGCAGCAACGCCGCGUGGGGGAUGACGGCCUUCGGGUUGUAAACCUCUUUUAGUAGGGAAGAAGGGCUUCGGCUUGACGGUACCUGCAGAAAAAGCACCGGCUAACUACGUGCCAGCAGCCGCGGUAAUACGUAGGGUGCAAGCGUUGUCCGGAAUUAUUGGGCGUAAAGAGCUCGUAGGCGGUUUGUCGCGUCUGCUGUGAAAACCCGAGGCUCAACCUCGGGCCUGCAGUGGGUACGGGCAGACUAGAGUGCGGUAGGGGAGAAUGGAAUUCCUGGUGUAGCGGUGGAAUGCGCAGAUAUCAGGAGGAACACCGAUGGCGAAGGCAGUUCUCUGGGCCGUUACUGACGCUGAGGAGCGAAAGCGUGGGGAGCGAACAGGAUUAGAUACCCUGGUAGUCCACGCCGUAAACGUUGGGAACUAGAUGUGGGGACCUUUCCACGGUCUCCGUGUCGCAGCUAACGCAUUAAGUUCCCCGCCUGGGGAGUACGGCCGCAAGGCUAAAACUCAAAGGAAUUGACGGGGGCCCGCACAAGCGGCGGAGCAUGCGGAUUAAUUCGAUGCAACGCGAAGAACCUUACCAAGGCUUGACAUAUACCGGAAACUUCCAGAAAUGGUUGCCCCGCAAGGUCGGUAUACAGGUGGUGCAUGGUUGUCGUCAGCUCGUGUCGUGAGAUGUUGGGUUAAGUCCCGCAACGAGCGCAACCCUCGUUCUAUGUUGCCAGCACGUCAUGGUGGGAACUCAUAGGAGACUGCCGGGGUCAACUCGGAGGAAGGUGGGGAUGACGUCAAAUCAUCAUGCCCCUUAUGUCUUGGGCUUCACGCAUGCUACAAUGGCCGGUACAAAGGGCUGCGAUACCGUAAGGUGGAGCGAAUCCCAAAAAGCCGGUCUCAGUUCGGAUUGAGGUCUGCAACUCGACCUCAUGAAGUCGGAGUCGCUAGUAAUCGCAGAUCAGCAACGUUGCGGUGAAUACGUUCCCGGGCCUUGUACACACCGCCCGUCAAGUCAUGAAAGUCGGUAACACCCGAAGCCAGUGGCCUAACCGCAAGGAGGAGCGU
rnacentral:rRNA from 1 species